GGCUGGCAGAGAUACAGUUGACACUAUGGAUCGACUUCACAAAGAAAUGGUGUUAGUGGUGUUCGCACUCAUCGUUAUACUUGAGAUUCAAUGUCAGUUUCCUAGACAGGCCGCUUUCGGUGGUGGACAGGCUUCUUUCGGUCCCAACGUUGGGGGUCAAGCAAUGGGCCCAGGAGCGACUCCUAAUAUUAAUCAGCUUUUAGGUGGACAGCAGAAAUUAGCAGAUGCGUGUCAAUAUCUUAGGUCCCGAACAAGUAUUUGGGGCAGCAACAACGCCCCUUUUAAACUUAGUACAGAAGGCUUUUAUAGUGAAGUCAGAAGAGGAUAUCCAAUUGAAGUUGCCAUAAAACCAUGGACAAAAUACCAACCAGAUAAUUUUACAGAUUUUAUCAUUUAUGCUACAGAGUUUUCUGGGACAGUAAACUUAUUUCCCAAUACAAGAAUAAGUCCACAAUUGUUGGGUGUUUUUAAGAUUAUGCCUCGGUAUUCAGCUGGUGGACAAGGAUUUAUGUGUGACCCACACGCUAUGGGCCCCGAUGCUGUAGGAAGCGCCGAAGAAAGAAGAAUUUUAAUUAGCCGAGCUUUAAAACCCAACGACAACUUCUGGAAUACGCGUCAAUCUGCCAUUAGACAAUAUGCCGGUUUCUUGUGGUAUCCAACUGAAAUGACUAUGGGUGCAACUAUGGUUCAGUUCACAGCAAAAUUAAAAUCUGACGGACAUUGGUAUGAAAUUAAAUCCCGAAAAUGGCCUGUUUACAACCCACCGGAUCCAUUUAUAAGUUUCAACAACCUUAACAUGGAGCAAAUGCAACAACUUCAACGAUUGUUUUAAUUAAGGUGCUCUGUCCAAUUCAAUCAACCAGUACCAGAUGAUGACAAGUAAUAUAGCACAGAUGCAAAGGCAAAUGGCGGGUGCAACUGCUGGCGCUCCAGCAUAAAUUAGCGCAUAGUUUGGGGUUUUUUUUUAGUUUGUUUUAAAUUUGUGCUUUAUUAAAUUAUGAAUUUAUCACAGACGCUUGCACAAAAAUAAUCAUAUAUUUUUAUAAUGAAAUUUAGGUAGUUGAUAACCGGUUUUAAGGUUAUAAUAACAAAACUACUAUUUAUUUUUGUCUGACUUUCCAUUAAUUUAAUGACUGGAAAUUGAAACCAAUUGAUACAAGCGGUUUAAAAAUUGUAAAAAUUUAAGAAAAUAAUUUUGUUAAGGACAGAUAUUGGUUAAUAGUAAGUCCAGGGGAACUGCACCACACACAAACAAUUACACAAGACAAACAUACUGACAAGACACAAAGAAAAAACGCGGAUCAAGUGAAUGGAUCUGGGGACCCGUUUGAAAUUCGCGAGUAAAAUGGCGGGGUAAAAUCAUUCAUGUAUCCUAUGACCUUUAAUUUAUUGUUACGUAUAUUCAAAAGAAGUACCCUACCCCCACCCAUGACAUAUUUUGAAGAAUCGGUGUUACAGGAUGAAUUUCAAACCAAACAUUGAGACAUUUGUUAGGAAAUAAGAGCUGGUUGGCUGUCAUAAAGUGUUACAACAGUUGGUCAGUUGUAAUUUUGAACAGAUCAAGGCAUACAGGCCAAGUCAUUACCAAAUAGUAUGCGUCCGCCACUGCUGAUGGUUGUUUAAUUAAUGUCAAUAAUCUAUAAAUAUUUGUAAAUAUUAUUCACUUAGAUAAUGGUGCCUGAAUAUGUAUUUAUAGAUUAAUAUAAGAAAAAAAAA